GACGAACGCUGGCGGCGUGCUUAACACAUGCAAGUUGAACGGGUCAUAUGUGAAGGGUAACCGGAGUGUAUGGCUAGUGGCGAACGGGUGAGUAAUGCAUGAGAACGUAUCCUCAAGAGGGGGACAACAUUGGGAAACCGAUGCUAAUACCCCAUAAGCCGGGAGGUAAAAGGAGGAAUCCGCUUGAGGAGCGGCUCAUGUCCUAUCAGCUAGUUGGCGAGGUAACGGCUCACCAAGGCGAAGACGGGUAGCCGGCCUGAGAGGGUGAACGGCCACACUGGAACUGAGAGACGGUCCAGACUCCUACGGGAGGCAGCAGUGGGGAAUAUUGGGCAAUGGGGGAAACCCUGACCCAGCGACGCCGCGUGAGGGAAGAAGGCCUUAGGGUCGUAAACCUCUGUUGUGUGGGAAGAAGAGCGUGACGGUACCACACGAGGAAGUCCCGGCUAACUACGUG
rnacentral:rRNA from 1 species